UGUGUGUGUGUGUGUGUGUGUGUGUGUGUGUGUGUAGCUCUGUGGAUUAGACACUGUUUCCAAGUUGCAUGGGAGAUCUUUCUCUUGCUCCUUCCCCCUCUUUGGAAACCUGGAACUAAGUUACACACACACACACACACACACACACACACACC
rnacentral:miRNA from 1 species